UACGGGGGGGGGCAAGCGUUGUUCGGAAUUACUGGGCGUAAAGGGCUCGUAGGCGGCCAUCUAAGUCGGACGUGAAAUCCCUCGGCUUAACCGGGGAACUGCGUCCGAUACUGGCGGGCUUGAGUGCGGCAGAGGGGGGUGGAAUUCCGCGUGUAGCAGUGAAAUGCGUAGAGAUGCGGAGGAACACCGAUGGCGAAGGCAGCCCCCCUGGGUCGACACUGACGCUCAGGCACGAAAGCGUGGGGAGCAAACAGG
rnacentral:rRNA from 1 species